UUCGGUACGACAUUGCUCACAUUGCUUCCAGUAUUUUUGCCCGCCUCUUCUGAGUGCGGGCUUUUUUUU
rnacentral:antisense_RNA from 2 species